rnacentral:rRNA from 2 species
GGGGAAUAUUGCACAAUGGGCGCAAGCCUGAUGCAGCGACGCCGCGUGAGCGAAGAAGGUUUUCGGAUCGUAAAGCUCUGUCCUCUGGGAAGAAAAAAUGACGGUACCAGAGGAGGAAGCCCAGGCUAACUACGUGCCAGCAGCCGCGGUAAUACGUAGGGGGCUAGCGUUGUCCGGAUUUACUGGGCGUAAAGGGUGAGUAGGCGGUAAUGUGUGUCAGAUGUUUAAUCUAUGAGGCUCAACUCAUAUCAGCAUUUGAAACUACAUAACUUGAGUGCAGGAGAGGUAAGUGGAAUUCCUAGUGUAGCGGUGGAAUGCGUAGAUAUUAGGAGGAACACCGGUGGCGAAGGCGACUUACUGGACUGUAACUGACGCUGAGACACGAAAGCGUGGGGAGCGAACA